ACAUUUUUUUAAAAAGCAGUCUAUACUGGAUUUUGUCUUUUUCUUCUUAUGCUUUGUUGGAUGGUGGCUUGUCACCUGUUUUUCCCAAUUCACUUCUUUGUCCUUAUCUCUGCCUUCCCGAUGAUCUCCCGCUCCCCCCCUCCCGAGGCCUCCGGUCCAGUACCCGGCGCACCGUUUGCACACAGGAGGCAGCUUCUGCUGCUUUACCUACAGCCAUCGAAGCUGAAGCUCAUAGACAAAGCCGAGGCCCAGAGACCAAAGUCAUUCGCCCCGCAGGAGCAAGAGGAUGGGACGUCAGGCUCGCCAACUUCCAACACACAGAAGAUGCUCCAUCCACGCUCUCCGUGGAAGACUUGACAUCACUUCACACCCAACUUACGAUCUUCAAGUUUGUCUUUUCUCCUCCUGACCUUUCGGUCUUUGUGGAGUGGAAGCUUCAAGAAGGCAAAGCUCGCAGA